rnacentral:rRNA from 1 species
UACGUAGGGUGCAGGCGUUAAUCGGAAUUACUGGGCGUAAAGCGUGCGUAGGUGGUUUGUUAAGUCUGGCGUGAAAGCUCUCGGCUAAACCGGGAGAGGUCGUUGGAUACUGGCUGACUAGAGGACGGUAGAGGCGUGUGGAAUUCCGGGUGUAGUGGUGAAAUGCGUAGAGAUCCGGAGGAACACCAGUGGCGAAGGCGACACGCUGGGCCUGAUCUGACGCUGAGGCGCGAAGGCGUGGGGAGCAAACAGG